CAAGGUUUCCUAGGAGUCCACGCUGGCAGUUGAUGCUGACAGUCCGUGGAUGCUCCUGGAUAACAUCUGUCGUGAGCUAAGCAUCCCUGGGCAAAGAAAUUGCUGGGUUCCUGGUGGGACCUUCCUUUAAUGGCUCCUUCUCAAGGACUGGAGCAGGAAUAAAGGAAGGGCAGGUGCCUCUCCAGACCCUGAGUUACCCUCCUUUGUGAGAAUUCAGACUCCUCCAGUGUCCCCAAACUUUGUUUGAUGCUGAUCCCUGAGCAGUGGUUUUCACCUCUCCCAACUUCUUGCCUCUUCGUCCACGAGGAACAACCAUUCUGAAGACCAAAGCUGAGUCUCAGCCUCAGGGAGUGGCAGAUUGAUCAGACCUGAUUGAGAACCUCUUAAAGGAACGAACAGCUGUAAUGGGAAAGUUGGACUCUGUCAUCCGUUAGGAUGAUUCUGGAAGCAAGAAGAACAAGGCUGACAUCUUGGAGCAAUUGUAUUUACAAUUAACAUGGCUGAAAACGAUUGCCUCUAUUGAUCCCCCCUUCCUGCAAUUACAGCCCCAUUGUUUACAUUCCAGCACUUCAGUUAUAAAAAGGAAAUUCAAUAAUUAUUGCAUUAUUUAAA